ensembl:lncRNA
CUCCACUUAAACACAUUUUCAUUUGUAUUUUAUGGCAGCAAGAAAGGAGUACUUACAGAUAAUUCCAGCGGGGGAAAGUUCUUGCCUCGAUGUACAAACAAAGAGUUAUAGCUGAGAUUUCUGGAUCUGCCCGAGGAAUUCGGGCGUCCAAGUAAAACAAACCAAGUGAGCAUCCAAAUCCACUGCACGUCCCUGAAAUCCCUCCUGCCUGUGUGCACGGGGCCGUGCGUAUACGAGUACGUGGAUUUAUGAGCAGAGCAAUUACUCUUCCAGGGAUUCUGAAUCUGUAAAUACCUAAAAAUGAACUCCAACUCGAUGGGGUGUUUGAACGACCGCUCGGAUAUGACCUGAUCAAUACUGAUUAUUUAACAAGAGUAAAUCUGACCCAGAACUUUCUAAAGCCUUAAGCUCUCUAGUACACAUGGCCAGUAGGAUUAUUUAGGGGCAUCCAGCCAGAGUUGCCACACAGCACUGCCGUAACCAAACAAACCCACCUACGCUGGGAUUUUGGGCUAUUUAUAGUCAUUCCAAGAGCAGGAGAAGGGUUUGUCCCUAUAGGGCCAUGCAUAUACAUAGGUCUCCUCCUGAAAACUGCAGCUUUGCUGUGUCAUCCCAAUCCGGAUUCAUAAAGCUUCCUUUAGCACAGGCUGCUGCGCUGUUUCUGCAGUUUAAUAGACGCUUUUCAGACAUAGACUUCACUACAGAGGUUACAUCUGCACAUUGGCUUCUCAGCUUUGCUUUCCAUAGGUAUGUUAACCAGGACAAUGCCAUAUCACUGAUUUCACUAACACUGCAAGCAUUCACAGUGCCUCUGAUUGCUCCUCUGUGAAAUCUGAGCCUCGCUCAGGUGUAACUCGCUGCAGGUGAGGAAACAUACCCAAAGGGCAAAUCAAACCCAUACGGUGUGACAACAUGGCAGAACAGUGGGCAGAAAACGCUGGGGUGGGGUACAGCAGGGAUCUCACACCACCUGUAGGAAUUCCCAAGACUUCUCCUCCAGAAGACAGAGCAGACAAAGCUUUCUGGAGCCUUCACACAGGUGUGACCUGCUCCAGGGACCUAUACCUUACAGCCUAGAGCUGAAGGCAGCGGCUUUUGGUCUCAUUUGGGGUAAAUUUCAAAGCUUCCUGCAGAUGGAAGAAACCAAAGGACUUCCAUUUGUCCUCCUUUUGUCUGUAUUUGUGUUGCAGCCCCAGUCCCAGCCAGCACUCACUGAUGUGAGCAGGACCCAUGAAGAGGGCACUCGCUGCUUGCUAAUCUCAUGCAUGUUAUACUUGAUACAAGCGAGGAAGGCUGAAUAUAUAAGCAGAACAAAACAUGGCAAAUGUGCUCACAAAAGGCUUUGUCAGAUAAGGGGGUGGGGGCCACAAGAAACUCCUCAGCUCUUGUUUGCUGCUUUCUGUUCCACCUACACUCACACCGGUGUGGGAACUGUCCGUUUUUGGGAGGGAUCUGUAGAGGGUUCCUGGUAAGCAUGUGAUCCUGACCACUCGCAGUGGAAUGAGACUGUUUUCUGACUGAUGAUCAUAAUCAUUCCAGCUGCAAAACACACGCGCGUAUAAACAUUACAACAUCGAUGUUGCUUUUACAACGUCUGGUGUCAUCAAAUAAACAACAACAGCCUUCAGGAGUGGCUCCUGAACCCAACAGCUGGACGAAAGCCUUCCUCUGGUGGUGGUUUAUCUUUCAUCCGUCUUUCAGGCUUUCUCAGAAUAAUUCACUACAAAGGAAUAAACAACUGCAGAAUCACACUCUUUCUGUGUGUCACGUAUCAGCAUUUUCUGUCCCUACGUGGAGUGAGAUGAGAUAGUAUUUCGCAAGAAUCCCUCUGUUGCCACUACUGCAGAACAGACCGAGACUUUUCAGCAGUGCCCAUGAAUGGACUGCUGGGAAGAACAUGUUAAUCAACCCUCAGUCAUCCAUUCCAGUAUAAACAGCUUACCCGCAGAUCCACCUCAGGUUGCCUCAUCAUGUACCCAACAAAGAGGAAAUGAGAGGAAAUGGAAGCUUCUCAUGCAGGGCAGAAGCAAACGAGCUGAGCCGGCAGGUUUGGGAGGCCCUGGUUUGCUACAUGUUGGAGACCACUCCCAUCUCUCAAUUGUUCCCCAUCUCAACAGUCACAGCGUCCCUUCUUUCCUUCUCCUUGGCCCCACAGUGAGAUUCAGGCUUCUUCAGCUUCUGGAUUAUCAUUUUCAGUAUCUCUUCUCUCCCCCCAGCUCUCAGGCAAAUCUCUCAGCAGCAGUGGGCUGUGCUAUGGCUGCGCUGGAAAGCAUGCAGCCAGUAAACCCAGCCAGUGAGGCCUGAGUGCUGUGCCGCUCCUCAGAGCCCUCCUCUGCCCAGCUGAUGGCUCUCCUCACCUUGUGGGUGCUCACGGUGGGAUUCCCCUCGCCUCACCUAUCUACUUUGUGGGCUUACCCACCUGUGGAAGCUGUCCAGGUUCCCAUCAUCAGUACUGGAGAUGGAGUCAGCAGAGCUGGGUGCAAUUAAUUC